CCUACGGGAGGCAGCAGUGGGGAAUAUUGCACAAUGGGGGAAACCCUGAUGCAGCGACGCCGCGUGAGUGAAGAAGUAUUUCGGUAUGUAAAGCUCUAUCAGCAGGGAAGAGAUAGCGACCUUUGGGUCGCCAGACGGUACCUGACUAAGAAGCCCCGGCUAACUACGUGCCAGCAGCCGCGGUAAUACGUAGGGGGCAAGCGUUAUCCGGAUUUACUGGGUGUAAAGGGUGCGUAGGCGGAUUUUUAAGUCAGCGGUAAAAUGUCCGGCCUCAACCCGGGCCGGCCGUUGAAACUGGGGAUCUU
rnacentral:rRNA from 1 species